UACAAAGGUUAGUUCAUGGCGGAUGGAAAUCGCCAGUUGAGUAUAAUGGCAUAAACUAGCUUGACUGUGAGACAUACAAGUCGAACAGAGACGAAAGUCGGUCAUAGU
rnacentral:rRNA from 1 species